rnacentral:rRNA from 1 species
AGAGUUUGAUCCUGGCUCAGAAUCAACGCUGGCGGCGUGCCUAACACAUGCAAGUCGAACGAGAAAGUGGAGCAAUCCAUGAGUACAGUGGCGACCGGGUGAGCAACACGUGACUAACCUACCUUCGAGUGGGGGAUAACCUCGGGAAACCGAGGCCAAUACCGCAUAACAUCGAGAGAUCAAAGGAGCAAUUCGCUUGAAGAGGGGGUCGCGGCUGAUUAGCUAGUUGGCGGGGUAAUGGCCCACCAAGGCGAAGAUCGGUAGCCGGCCUGAGAGGGCGCACGGCCACACUGGAACUGAAACACGGUCCAGACUCCUACGGGAGGCAGCAGUGGGGAAUUUUGCGCAAUGGGGGAAACCCUGACGCAGCAACGCCGCGUGGAGGAUGAAGCCCCUUGGGGUGUAAACUCCUUUCGACCAAGACGAUAAUGACGGU